rnacentral:misc_RNA from 1 species
AAGUUCAGCUCAUAUAUUAAACAAACAUAAAAAUCAAGCUUGAGCUCAACUCAUUAAGCAAACAAGUCAAGCCAAGCCUUGAGAAAAGCGGCUCACCUCAAAUACACCUCCAAACUCUAGAGACUUCAUUAGAUUACAAAUGGUGACACUCUCUUUUUUUUUCCCCCCACUAUUCUUUUUGGAUAAAGCUACUUUUGUUUAGUAUAUUUUCUCAAAUGGCAUCAAAAAAAGUAUAGCACAAUUAGAAGGAACAGUUUGCACAAAAAAUAGUUCAACAUCCAAAGCUUCAAUAAUUUAUUACUUGGGUUGAGGAGACAGAUAGGUAAACUUUGAUGUUUUGGGGACAUUUUGAACAUUAAAUCACUUGUUAUUAAUAAAGAAAAAACCACUGGCUCCAGCUGUUAUUCAUUUCUGCAUCAAUUAGAGCUGGUUGUAGAUAUCAGCAAUCCAUUUGUGGAUAGUUUGCCUUUCCAAUUAUCUUGAAAAAAUUAUUUCAAUUCAAAUCCUAAAUGAACUCUUCAUUAUAGCUAAUUGUCAUGGCAAAUAUCAUCCCAUUCCCAUCUAUCUAUAUAUUCAGCAUUACAUCCACUUCAAAGAGUAGAAAGGAAAGAUUUUAAGCAACUGAACAGAAAGGACAAGAGAGAGAGAGAGAGAGAG